rnacentral:rRNA from 1 species
AACGAACGCUGGCGGCAUGCCUAACACAUGCAAGUCGAACGAGAUCUUCGGGUCUAGUGGCGCACGGGUGCGUAACGCGUGGGAAUCUGCCCUUUGGUUCGGAAUAACAGUUGGAAACGACUGCUAAUACCGGAUGAUGACGAAAGUCCAAAGAUUUAUCGCCAGAGGAUGAGCCCGCGUAGGAUAGCUAGUUGGUGUGGUAAAUGCGCACCAAGGCGACGAUCCUUAACUGGUCUGAGAGGAUGAUCAGCCACACUGGGACUGAGACACGGCCCAGACUCCUACGGGAGGCAGCAGUGGGGAAUAUUGGACAAUGGGCGAAAGCCUGAUCCAGCAAUGCCGCGUGAGUGAUGAAGGCCUUAGGGUUGUAAAGCUCUUUUACCCGGGAUGAUAAUGACAGUACCGGGAGAAUAAGCUCCGGCUAACUCCGUGCCAGCCGCCGCCGUAA